rnacentral:sRNA from 1 species
AGGAAGAUUUAAGAUCUGAUCGACAGGCCGGACAGGUACAUUGAGUACUUGAAACAUGGACAUUCUGAAAGCUAUGUAUUUUUUAAAGCAGCAAUAUUCGCCCAAAUGAAGAAAGCAAAGUAUCUAGCUGAUGAUUUAAAAAUGGUCACAAAUGGCAUAAUAUCUGAAGCGCAAUGUGAGUGUCCAGUCAGAAUGGGUCCAAGUGCACACUGUACGCACAUACAAGCGAUACUAUUAUAUGGACUAAGUAGAUUGAAAAAGGAUAAAGAAUUAAAAAUUCAACUAACAUGUACAGAAAAACUACAAAAAUUUCAUGUAGUAAAAAAACAAACAGGUUCGCCUGUAAAAGCAGAGUCUUUGAAACUUUUGGUUCCAGACAAUAUAAUCUAUGAUCCCCGCACAUACAAAAUGCCUAAAGAAAAUUAUAAUUCAUUUUUUAGAAACAUUUGGAUGUCUGCUAAAGAUGUCCCACAAAGACCUAUUUUCCAAAUAUUUGAACCUGCCAAUAUUUGUGCUUAUGUCAAUGACCAUGAGUACACAAAAGUUCCUUUAGUAGAUAAUUAUUUAAAAAGUAUAGGACUAAAAGAUGUUACAAAUGAGGAUAUUAUUAAAAUAGAAAAAAAACAACUAGAGGACAGUCAUUAAACAAAUCAUGGAUAAAAGAUAGACUAAAAAGGGUUCAAUCAUCAAAUUUUGGUAGUAUUUGUAAGGCAGGAGAUAUAACUAUAUUGGAUAACUUAGCAUUAAAAUGUAUGAAAAGUGUUAACUUAAAAACUAGUGCAAUUAAGCAUGGACAUAAAUAUGAAGCCACUGCUAUCAAAAAGUAUAAAUUAUAUAGUGGCCAUAAAGUACAAAGAUGUGGAAUUUUCAUUUGUUAUGAAUUUCCAUUUUUUUGGGAUCUUCUCCUGAUGGGAUUGUUAAAUUGCCAGAUGGCACUAUGAAAGUAAUUGAAGUUAAAUGUCCAUACGUGGCAAGGG